GAUGAACGCUGGCGGCGUGCUUAACACAUGCAAGUCGAGCGAAGCGCUUACUUUGGAUUUUUUCGGAAUGACGAGGUAUUUGACUGAGCGGCGGACGGGUGAGUAACGCGUGGGCAACCUGCCUCACACAGGGGGAUAACAGUUAGAAAUGACUGCUAAUACCGCAUAAGACCACAGCACCGCAUGGUGCAGGGGUAAAAACUCCGGUGGUGUGAGAUGGGCCCGCGUCUGAUUAGGUAGUUGGUGCGGUAACGGCGCACCAAGCCGACGAUCAGUAGCCGACCUGAGAGGGCGACCGGCCACAUUGGGACUGAGACACGGCCCAAACUCCUACGGGAGGCAGCAGUGGGGAAUAUUGCACAAUGGGGGAAACCCUGAUGCAGCGACGCCGCGUGAAGGAUGAAGUAUUUCGGUAUGUAAACUUCUAUCAGCAGGGAAGAAAAUGACGGUACCUGACUAAGAAG
rnacentral:rRNA from 1 species